rnacentral:rRNA from 1 species
UACGUAGGGUGCAAGCGUUAAUCGGAAUUACUGGGCGUAAAGCGUGCGCAGGCGGCUAUGCAAGACAGAUGUUAAAUCCCCGGGCUCAACCUGGGAACUGCAUUUGUGACUGCAUGGCUAGAGUACGGUAGAGGGGGAUGGAAUUCCGCGUGUAGCAGUGAAAUGCGUAGAUAUGCGGAGGAACACCGAUGGCGAAGGCAAUCCCCUGGACCUGUACUGACGCUCAUGCACGAAAGCGUGGGGAGCAAACAGG